UUUAAAGCACUUGAUGUAAUGGAGCGAUUGAUCUUCAUUUUUACAAGUCUGAUUGAGAAGGUCUAGUAGGAGUGAGAGCUAGACAUCCAGUAGGAGUGAGAGCUGGCUACCUAGUAGGAGUGAGAGCUAGGUAGAUUUUAGAAGGUUGAUAUGCGAUGAGGAGUGGGACAUCCAGUAGGAGUGAGAGCUGGCUGCCUAGUAGGAGUGAGAGCUAGGUAGAGGAGAAGAUUGAUAAGGGAUGAGGAGGUUUGAUGAGUGGAAGGGAAAAGCUUUUAGUUUCUUUUGGUUUUUAUCUACACUUGUAUAGAAAAACUAAGAAAUGGUCACACAUAGUUGUAACAAGGUCUUUUCUUUUUGAAUUAAAUUUAACAUUCAAUUCAAAAAAAAAAAAAAAAAAUUGGUUAAUAUGUUCAUAUUCCACAAUAUUGUCUUGCCAAAAUUACUUGACAUAAUUGAAGUUAUUGGUACAACUUCAAUAUCAAAGCAGAAUAACAAAAAAAAUUAAUCAAAUUUAUUACAACUAAGGGAAAAAAAAUUCUCAAGAACACUUAGUCAAAUUCACAAAAGAUAAACCAUUACAUAAGUUCAAAGAUAUAACAUUUUCAUUAGAAGUCUUUUGGGAAGUUUUCUAGCAAAAAUCAUCAUUGAUGCAUAUAAUAAUAAUGAUACUUAAGUCAUUGAUACAACAUAUUAAGAAUCAUUUUAAC
rnacentral:lncRNA from 1 species